CCUACGGGGGGCAGCAGUGAGGAAUAUUGGUCAAUGGCCGUAAGGCUGAACCAGCCAAGUCGCGUGAAGGAAGAAGGCCCUAUGGUUUGUAAACUUCUUUUAUCGGGGAAUAAAGGUAUCCACGUUUGGCUAUUUGCAUGUACCCUAUGAAUAAGCAUCGGCUAACUCCGUGCCAGCAGCCGCGGUAAUACGGAGGAUGCGAGCGUUAUCCGGAUUUAUUUGGUUUAAAGGGUGCGUAGGUUGUUGUUUAAGUCAGCGGUGAAAGUUUGUGGCUCAACCCUAGAAGUGCCGUUGAAACUGGACGACUAGAGUGUGUGUGAGGUAGGCGGAAUGCGUGGUGUAGCGGUGAAAUGCAUAGAUAUUACGCAGAACUCCGAGUGCGAAGGCAGCUUACUAAGCCAUAACUGACAUUGAAGCACGAAAGCGUGGGGAGCAAACAGGAUUAGAUACCCCGGUAGUC
rnacentral:rRNA from 1 species